rnacentral:tRNA from 3 species
GCCCAUGUAGCCCAACGGAAGAGGCGUCCGGUUCAGGGCCGGAAGGUUGGGGGUUCGAAUCCCUCCAUGGGCA